GGAUCAUUCAAGCACUUAUAAUUCGAUGUGUUUCUUUUAUUUGCGAUACAGACUAGUGGAUUGUUAUCAACGUCGUCGCAUUUGGUUGCAUCCUUUCGGAUUUAAGGUUAGUUCAUGGAGCAUUAUAGUGGACUCUGCGGCGUUGUCGGGACCUUGUGAUUGGACCUCUAGGGCGUUUGCAUUUUUAUUUCUUUUAUCAUGUCAAAAUGUUUUCGAACGUUUAUUUAUUAGCUUCCGCACUUUUAUUUAUUGGCAAUUCUUGGGGAAUUUGGAGUUAGAGAAUAUCGGAUAUUGUGGCCAUCUUGUUAUGGAAAAAUAUUGAUUUUGGGUUUGCACAUUUUGCUUUAAUAAAAUAUCUAGUUUUUACUUUA